rnacentral:rRNA from 1 species
CUUUACUAUAGCUUGACACUGAACAUUGAGCCUUGAUGUGUAGGAUAGGUGGGAGGCUUUGAAGUGUGGACGCCAGUCUGCAUGGAGCCGACCUUGAAAUACCACCCUUUAAUGUUUGAUGUUCUAACGUUGACCCGUAAUCCGGGUUGCGGACAGUGUCUGGUGGGUAGUUUGACUGGGGCGGUCUCCUCCUAAAGAGUAACGGAGGAGCACGAAGGUUGGCUAAUCCUGGUCGGACAUCAGGAGGUUAGUGCAAUGGCAUAAGCCAGCUUGACUGCGAGCGUGACGGCGCGAGCAGGUGCGAAAGCAGGUCAUAGUGAUCCGGUGGUUCUGAAUGGAAGGGCCAUCGCUCAACGGAUAAAAGGUACUCCGGGGAUAACAGGCUGAUACCGCCCAAGAGUUCAUAUCGACGGCGGUGUUUGGCACCUCGAUGUCGGCUCAUCACAUCCUGGGGCUGAAGUAGGUCCCAAGGGUAUGGCUGUUCGCCAUUUAAAGUGGUACGCGAGCUGGGUUUAGAACGUCGUGAGACAGUUCG